CAAGAGUCGUGACAUCUGGAAAUGAGGAUGCGCUCAUCCCUGCGGCCACUCCCUGGAAGAGUCACGAGCAAGACUCACGACCUCUCUGGGGUCCCGUCGCAUUUGUUCCUGCUCCUUCUCAUCCAGGAUGCGAUUCCCAUCUUGGUCAAACUUGGUGAAGGCAGCCGUGAGCUCAGUGAUCUCAUGCUCUGUGUGCCCCAGUCUGAGGAGAACAGAAUAAUGAAAUGACUUCUGACA